GCCGCGGUAGCUCAGUGGUAGAGCGCACCCUUGGUAAGGGUGAGGUCGGGAGUUCAAUUCUCCCUCGCGGCACCA
rnacentral:tRNA from 4 species